AAGAAAAAGGGGUCUCAGCUAAGCAUUCACUCUAAGGGGUUCAGAGGAAAUUAUUUUUCCUCCUCUAAGGUUUCUCGUGAGCAUGAUGAGACCCACCGGGACACUUCACUUGCUCCAGAGCCUGUAGAACUCUGGGGAAAAUGGCAGAAGCCAGAAAAGGACAAUAAUGCCAUUACUGUUUGUGCCGGAGAAAGGCAAUUCUAGAAACUCGCAGACCUCUGUCAUCAGAGGGAGCUCAUCCAAAGAUAUCAAGUUGUAAAAUUUUGGUUUUGACAGGAUGUCAAAUAAUUGGAAUCCUACAACAGAUAGCUUUUUAAGACUGACUUCUUUCACUUAACAAUAUGCACUUCAGGUUCCUUCAUGUCUUUUCAUGGCUUAAUAGCUCAAAUCUUUUUAUCACUGAAUGACAUUCCAUUAUAU
rnacentral:lncRNA from 1 species